rnacentral:tRNA from 1 species
UGCCCCGUCCACGAGGGUGGCAGCCGUUUCUAACUCGGUGAAUCAUGGGUUCGACUCCCAUCGGGGCAU